rnacentral:rRNA from 1 species
CCUACGGGGGGCUGCAGUGAGGAAUAUUGGUCAAUGGACGAGAGUCUGAACCAGCCAAGUAGCGUGAAGGAUGACUGCCCUAUGGGUUGUAAACUUCUUUUAUAUGGGAAUAAAAUGUUCCACGUGUGGGAUUUUGUAUGUACCAUAUGAAUAAGGAUCGGCUAACUCCGUGCCAGCAGCCGCGGUAAUACGGAGGAUCCGAGCGUUAUCCGGAUUUAUUGGGGUUAAAGGGAGCGUAGGUGGAUUGUUAAGUCAGUUGUGAAAGUUUGCGGCUCAACCGUAAAAUUGCAGUUGAAACUGGCAGUCUGGAGUACAGUAGAGGUGGGCGGAAUUCGUGGUGUAGCGGUGAAAUGCUUAGAUAUCACGAAGAACUCCGAUUGCGAAGGCAGCUCACUGGACUGCAACUGACACUGAGGCUCGAAAGUGUGGGUAUCAAACAGGAUUAGAUACCCCAGUAGUC